CGGGGUGGAGUAAUGUCUGGGAAACUGCCUGAUGGAGGGGGAUAACUACUGGAAACGGUAGCUAAUACCGCAUAACGUCGCAAGACCAAAGAGGGGGACCUUCGGGCCUCUUGCCAUCAGAUGUGCCCAGAUGGGAUUAGCUAGUAGGUGGGGUAACGGCUCACCUAGGCGACGAUCCCUAGCUGGUCUGAGAGGAUGGCCAGCCACACUGGAACUGAGACACGGUCCAG
rnacentral:rRNA from 1 species